GCGGGAUGGAGCAGUCUGGUAGCUCGUCGGGCUCAUAACCCGAAGGUCGUAGGUUCAAAUCCUA
rnacentral:tRNA from 1 species